UAAAUAUCUUUUCUUGAGCUUACCUUGCCCGCUUAUUUAUUUCUUUCCUUCUAUAUUUCUAAAUAUAUUAUUUCUUUCCCUAAUUAACUCCUCUCGGAGACCCCAACAGCGACAUCGCCGCUGUCGCUUCCCACAGCCAACAUCGCCGCCAUCCUGUCCCCCUCUCGCGUCUGCCGUUUCCUUCCUCCCUGUUUCGUCUCUCUCUCUCUCUCUCAGACUUUGACCCACCUUGCUCUCAGAUUCUCACCCACCAUUGUAGGUUAGAUUCUCUCUAUGCCAUUCUUUAAAAUUUUCAUCCUUCACAAAAAUGGCAAAAAAAAAAAAAAACAAAUAUAAAUGUCAUAAAGUUAAGUUUAUAAUUUAUGGAUACUUCUAUAUCUAUAUUAUCCAUAAAGUCAACAUAAAAAGAAUAACAACAAUGUUCUCCUAAAUAUCUUUUCUUGAGCUUACCUUGCCCGCUUAUUUAUUUCUUUCCUUCUAUAUUUCUAAAUAUAUUAUUUCUUUCCCUAAUUAACUCCUCUCGGAGACCCCAACAGCGACAUCGCCGCUGUCGCUUCCCACAGCCAACAUCGCCGCCAUCCUGUCCCCCUCUCGCGUCUGCCGUUUCCUUCCUCCCUGUUUCGUCUCUCUCUCUCUCUCUCAGACUUUGACCCACCUUGCUCUCAGAUUCUCACCCACCAUUGUAGGUUAGAUUCUCUCUAUGCCAUUCUUUAAAAUUUUCAUCCUUCACAAACUUUUUAUUGGGAUAUAGUUAUUAAUGAGUGUGUUCAAAAGAGUUUUUGUAGUAUUAUUGGAAAAUAUGACAGUAGUAUAAUUGGAGGUUGUCCUUUUGUUUUUUCCGAGGUAGAUUUGUUUAAUGCUUUAAGAAGAACUCAAGAACCCUCCCAAGAAGGUGGCUACAUAAAGCAUUGACUAAUUUAUGCUCUUAAUUGUGAUGAUUGGUUGUGCAGGUAAUAAAGCUAGCAGCCGCAUUUUUCUAUUGCUAAGGUUAUUUGUUUCAAAUUGUAAUCUGUUUUGAU
rnacentral:lncRNA from 1 species